CCUAUAGCUGCGCGGCUGCAGCAGGUCGGGCUUGCCACAAGCGGGAGGCAUAGCCCGCGCGCGCGCGCUCGCGCGAGGGAGAGAGAGAGAUCACACUGGCCGUGCGGCGACCGGCGAGAGCCGAGUCGAGCGCGUACGUGUGCGAGCGAGGCCGCGAGCGCGUACCACGUGACGCUACAGGCUACGGCUUGGGGGCUAACGUGCAGACGCGAGAGAGAGAGAGAGAGAGAGAGAGAGAGAGAGAGAGAGAGAGAGAGAGAGAGAGAGAGAGAG